rnacentral:rRNA from 1 species
GAAAUGCGAUACUUGGUGUGAAUUGCAGAAUCCCGUGAACCAUCGAGUCUUUGAACGCAAGUUGCGCCCGAAGCCAUUACGCUAAGGGCACGUCUGCCUGGGGGUCACGC